rnacentral:rRNA from 1 species
GUGGGGAAUUUUCCGCAAUGGGCGAAAGCCUGACGGAGCAACGCCGCGUGAGGGAUGAAGGCCUCUGGGCUGUAAACCUCUUUUCUCAAGGAAGAAGAUCUGACGGUACUUGAGGAAUAAGCCACGGCUAAUUCCGUGCCAGCAGCCGCGGUAAUACGGGAGUGGCAAGCGUUAUCCGGAAUUAUUGGGCGUAAAGCGUCCGCAGGCGGCCUUGAAAGUCUGUCGUUAAAGCGUGGAGCUUAACUCCAUUUAAGCGAUGGAAACUACAAGGCUAGAGUGUGGUAGGGGCAGAGGGAAUUCCCGGUGUAGCGGUGAAAUGCGUAGAUAUCGGGAAGAACACCAGUGGCGAAGGCGCUCUGCUGGGCCAUAACUGACGCUCAUGGACGAAAGCCAGGGGAGCGAAAGGGAUUAGAUACCCCAGUAGUCC